AACGAACGCUGGCGGCAGGCUUAACACAUGCAAGUCGAACGCAUCCUUCGGGGUGAGUGGCAGACGGGUGAGUAACGCGUGGGAACGUGCCCUUCAGUUCGGGAUAACCCAGGGAAACUUGGGCUAAUACCGGAUACGUGCGAGAGCAGAAAGAUUUAUCGCUGAAGGAUCGGCCCGCGUCUGAUUAGCUAGUUGGUGGGGUAAUGGCCCACCAAGGCGACGAUCGGUAGCUGGACUGAGGGGAUGAUCAGCCACAUUGGCACUGGGACACGGCCCAAACUCCUACGGGAGGCAGCAGUGGGGAAUAUUGGACAAUGGGCGCAAGCCUGAUCCGGCCAUGCCGCGUGAGUGAUGAAGGCCUUAGGGUUGUAAAGCUCUUUCGUCCGGGACGAUAAUGACGGUACCGGAAGAAGAAGCCCCGGCUAACUUCGUGCCAGCCGCCGCGGUAA
rnacentral:rRNA from 1 species